AACGUAGGUACCGAGCGUUAUCCGGAUUUACUGGGCGUAAAGCGUGUUCAGGCGGUCUGGCAAGUCGGGCAUGAAAUCUCUCGGCUCAACCGGGAGGGGUUGUCCGAUACUGCUGGGCUUGAGGGCAGCAGAGGGUGGUGGAAUUCCGGGUGUAGUGGUGAAAUGCGUAGAUAUCCGGAGGAACACCAGUGGCGAAGGCGGCCACCUGGGCUGUACCUGACGCUCAAACACGAAAGCUAGGGGAGCGAACGGG
rnacentral:rRNA from 1 species